CUGCGGCAUCCUACACAUGCAAGUCGUACGGAGAGUGGGGCAACUCACUCUCAGUGGCGAACGGGUGAGUAACGCGUGAAUAACCUGCCUUUGAGAAGGGGAUAACUGUCCGAAAGGAUAGCUAAUACCCUAUAUUGCCUUUUGUCACUAAGGCAAAAGGUGAAAGCGAGGCUGUCAAAGGCUUCGGCUCAAAGAGGGGUUCGCGUCCUAUCAGGUAGUUGGUGGGGUAAUGGCCUACCAAGCCAAUGAGACGGGUAGCUGGUCUUAGAGGAUGAUCAGCCACAGUGGGACUGAGACACGGCCCGCACCCCUACGGGGGGCAGCAGUGGGGAAUCGUGGGCAAUGGGCGCAAGCCUGACCCCGCAAUGCCGCGUGAGGGAAGAAGCCCUUCGGGGUGUAAACCUCUGUCAGAUGGGAAGAUGGGACUAGGGGCUAAUACCUCCUGGUCUUGACGGUACCAUCAGAGGAAGGGACGGCUAACUACGUGCCAGCAGCCGCGGUAAU
rnacentral:rRNA from 1 species